UACGAAGGGGGCUAGCGUUGUUCGGAAUUACUGGGCGUAAAGGGCGGGUAGGCGGGGUGUAAAGUCAGGCGUGAAAGCCCCGGGCUCAACCUGGGAACAGCGCUUGAGACUGGCACGCUCGAGUUCGGGAGAGGAUGGUGGAAUUCCCGGUGUAGAGGUGAAAUUCGUAGAUAUUGGGAAGAACACCGAUGGCGAAGGCAGCCAUCUGGACCGACACUGACGCUGAGGCGCGAAAGCGUGGGGAGCAAACAGG
rnacentral:rRNA from 1 species